rnacentral:rRNA from 1 species
UACGGAGGGUGCAAGCGUUGUUCGGAAUUACUGGGCGUAAAGCGCGCGUAGGCGGUUUGUUAAGUCAGAUGUGAAAGCCCAUGGCUCAACCAUGGACGUGCAUUUGAAACUGGCAGACUUGAGUAUUGGAGGGGUGUGGAUUCCGGUGUAGAGGUGAAAUUCGUAGAUAUCGGGAGGAAUACCGGUGGCGAAGGCGACCACCUGGCCAAAUACUGACGCUGAGGUGCGAAAGCGUGGGGAGCAAACAGGAUUAGAUACCCCAGUAGU